rnacentral:rRNA from 1 species
UGAACGCUGGCGGCAUGCUUUACACAUGCAAGUCGAACGGUAGCAGGCCGCAAGGUGCUGACGAGUGGCGAACGGGUGAGUAAUGCAUCGGAACGUGCCCAGUCGUGGGGGAUAACUACUCGAAAGAGUAGCUAAUACCGCAUACGAUCUAUGGAUGAAAGCGGGGGACCGUAAGGCCUCGCGCGAUUGGAGCGGCCGAUGUCAGAUUAGGUAGUUGGUGGGGUAAAGGCUCACCAAGCCAACGAUCUGUAGCUGGUCUGAGAGGACGACCAGCCACUCUGGGACUGAGACACGGCCCAGACUCCUACGGGAGGCAGCAGUGGGGAAUUUUGGACAAUGGGCGCAAGCCUGAUCCAGCAAUGCCGCGUGCAGGAAGAAGGCCUUCGGGUUGUAAACUGCUUUUGUACGGAACGAAACGGCUCUGGUUAAUACCCGGGGCUAAUGACGGUACCGUAAGAAUAAGCACCGGCUAACUACGUG